CUGUGCACUGCCCUUUCCUUUCUCUGACCAUGGUGAGACACAUACUACAAACCAUCGCGCCUCUAAUGGCCGUCCUUCUCAUCAAAGGUACUUCUGCUAGGAGGGUGUCCACGGAGGGUCUGGCAGCCUUCAACACAUGCAAAGACACAAGAGAACGUCUCUGAUGAAGAACUAAAAAUCAUCAAACAAGGAUCUGUGCCUUCCACAACAACGGGAAAGUGCUUUCUGG